UGCCCUUAUGACCUGGGGCUACACACGUGCUACAAUGGACGGUACAAAGAGCUGCAAGACCGCGAGGUGGAGCUAAUCUCAUAAAACCGUUCUCAGUUCGGAUUGUAGGCUGCAACUCGCCUACAUGAAGCUGGAAUCGCUAGUAAUCGCGGAUCAGCAUGCCGCGGUGAAUACGUUCCCGGGCCUUGUACACACCGCCCGUCACACCACGAGAGUUUGUAACACCCGAAGUCGGUGGGGUAACCUUUUUGGAGCCAGCCGCCUAAGGUGGGACAGAUGAUUGGGGUGAAGUCGUAACAAGGUAGCCGUAUCGGAAGGUGCGGUUGGAUCACCUCC
rnacentral:rRNA from 1 species